rnacentral:rRNA from 1 species
GGGCCCGCACAAGCAGUGGAGUAUGUGGUUUAAUUCGAAGCAACGCGAAGAACCUUACCAGGGCUUGACAUGCAGAUGAAUUCAGUGGAAACACUGGAGUCUUUCGGGACAUUUGCACAGGUGGUGCAUGGUUGUCGUCAGCUCGUGUCGUGAGAUGUUGGGUUAAGUCCCGCAACGAGCGCAACCCCUGUUGUUAGUUGCCAGCACGUAGCGGUGGGCACUCUAACGAGACUGCCGGUGACAAAUCGGAGGAAGGUGGGGACGACGUCAAAUCAUCAUGCCCCUUAUGUUCUGGGCUACACACGUACUACAAUGGCUACGACAGAGGGAAGCGAAGGAGCGAUCCGGAGCGAAUCCCCAAAGGUAGUCCCAGUUCGGAUUGUGGGCUGCAACCCGCCCACAUGAAGUCGGAAUUGCUAGUAAUGGCAGGUCAGCAUACUGCCGUGAAUACGUUCCCGGGCCUU